AUUGAACGCUGGCGGCAUGCUUUACACAUGCAAGUCGAACGGUAACACGCCUUCGGUUGCUGACGAGUGGCUAACGGGUGAAUAAUUCAUCGGAACGUGCCCAGCGGUGGGGGAUAACGCAGCCAAAGCUGUGCUAAUACCGCAUUUUAUCUGAGUAUGAAAGCGAGGGCCCUGGCAGCAAUGUUUGACCUCUCGCCUUUGGUGCGUCCGAUGUCAGAUUAGGGAGUUGGUGGGGUAAAGGCCUACCGCGCCGACGAUCUGUAGCUGGUCUGAGAGGACGACCAGCCACACUGGGACUGAGACACGGCCCAAGCUCCUACGGGAGGCAGCAGUGGGGAAUUUUGAAGAAAGGGCGCGAGACUGAUCCAGCAAGGCCGCGUGCGGGAAGAAGGCAUUCGGGUUGUAAACCGAUUUUGUACGGAACGAAAAGGGUUUGGCGAAUACAAGGAGAUGAUGACGGUACCAAAAGAAUAAGCAACGGCUAACUACGUG
rnacentral:rRNA from 1 species